rnacentral:lncRNA from 1 species
GGUCUGUUACGCGGAAAGAGAGGAGCUUUCACAGAGGAGAGAAUUUCAGACUCGCAGGCCUUUAUCCAGCUAGGACGAGGGAGGGAGCGUGGUGGCUAGAGAUGGAUCUGGUGUAAGUCAGGAACGUGUGGAAGGGAAAGCCCCUGCUCGGUGUCAGUCCAGGGCCUCCUGUCAGAGAAGUGAGCCUGAGCCUGCAUCCCAUCCCGGGUCACAGUCGGGCAUGCCAGAGCUGUAUUGGCCAAGCAGCAGGGCGGUCACGUCCUGAGAAGACCCCCGCCUGGAAAAUCGAGCUCCACAGUGUGCAAGACAGAGAGGGGAGUUUGUGUCCUUGGUGAUGGAGAGGCUUGCCCCAUCCUGCUUUAGAGAAGGUCCGUCCUUGUCGCCAGAGCUGGCUGUCCAGGAACAUCCUGUUUGCACACAGAUGGUCACUGUGAAGGACAGAGAGGAGCCUGACUGCAUCCCCUGAGCGCUUGGAUCCAGCCAUGCCUGAAGGGAUUCUGAAGCUGGUUCUCCUAACUGGAGAAGCCCAGAAAGGAGAGCCUGGAGGAGAAGAGACAGAUUCCUUGACGUCAGUCCUGACAGGUCUCAGUCCCUCAAUGUUCUGGUUCUCUGAG